AUGCACCUCGUCAAUCCUAUCACUGGUCAACAGAUUGCUCUCCUGUCAGUGACCAUCAUCGAGUACGUGAAGCCCAUCUUUGAUGAGUCGGGUUCGGUCCACGAGUAUGAAUACCCAAGUCACUCUGCAAGGCGGGCUUUCUUCACGCCAACGAUCCUCGCUCGUUGUGAGCUGCGGGAACACUUCCAGUUCAAGGCGUUUGUGUUCCAUGAUGCAUCGACAGGAGGCUACAUCGUGAUGCUCAUCCUUAGGCCAUACACUCACCUAUCCUUUGCAAGAGUUGGGGAUGAUAGGUGGACCUUGCUGGAACCACACUGUGACUACCAGGACUGCACCUACAAGGAUGGGUUGUUGUAUGCAGCGAGUACGAUGGGAGAAAUUCAUGCCUUCGAGCUUAGUGGUCCUGAUGUUACAAUGAAUAUCAUCAAGGGGAGGGACGAGGGCUUUCAUCCGAAUGGUGUACACAUUGUUCAGGCUCCAUGGGGAGGUCUACUGCUUGUUUCAAGAUUAAUGGAGUUUGAGGAUCCCGAUAAAGACGUCGACCUUAAAAUACCGGUUCCGAAUACUAGGGAAAUUAAAUUAAACAGAGUUGAUGAUGGUGCCAAGAGUCUUGUGAAAGUUGUUUGCUUGCCUGGCCAUGUGUUGUUUCUUGGGCUUAACGAUUCACUAUGUCUCAGUGCCAAAGAUUACCUUGCUCUCAAGGGGAAUCAUGCCUACUUUACUGACAAUCAACAGUACAAUCAAGGACGUAAGAGUAGUCAUCGCGAUAUUGGAGUAGUUGACUUGGGAAAUUAUAAUAGCAAGGAGGACAUUGUGUCACCUUAG
rnacentral:rRNA from 1 species